UGGGGAAUUUUGGACAAUGGGCGCAAGCCUGAUCCAGCCAUUCCGCGUGAGUGAAGAAGGCCUUCGGGUUGUAAAGCUCUUUCGCAAGGGAAGAAAACUUACAUUCUAAUAAAGUGUGAGGCUGACGGUACCUUGAUAAGAAGCACCGGCUAACUACGUG
rnacentral:rRNA from 1 species